GCUUUUGUAUAGGAAGAAACCUUUCCUCGUGAGGAAAAUUGACGGUACUAUACGAAUAAGGAUCGGCUAACUCCGUGCCAGCAGCCGCGGUAAUACGGAGGAUCCAAGCGUUAUCCGGAAUCAUUGGGUUUAAAGGGUCCGUAGGCGGGUUUAUAAGUCAGUGGUGAAAGUCUGCAGCUUAACUGUAGAACUGCCAUUGAUACUGUAGAUCUUGAAUCAUUAUGAAGUGGUUAGAAUGUGUAGUGUAGCGGUGAAAUGCAUAGAUAUUACACAGAAUACCGAUUGCGAAGGCAGAUCACUAAUAAUGUAUUGACGCUGAUGGACGAAAGCGUAGGUAGCGAACAGGAUUAGAUACCCUGGUAGUCUACGCCGUAAACGAUGGUUACUAGCUGUCCGGCCUAAUUGAGGGCUGGGUGGUUAAGCGAAAGUGAUAAGUAACCCACCUGGGGAGUACGUUCGCAAGAAUGAAACUCAAAGGAAUUGACGGGGGCCCGCACAAGCGGUGGAGCAUGUGGUUUAAUUCGAUGAUACGCGAGGAACCUUACCAGGGCUUAAAUGCAGUCUGACGUACUUGGAAACAGGUAUUUCUUCGGACAGAUUGCAAGGUGCUGCAUGGUUGUCGUCAGCUCGUGCCGUGAGGUGUCAGGUUAAGUCCUAUAACGAGCGCAACCCCUGUGGUUAGUUGCCAGCACGUAAUGGUGGGAACUCUAGCCAGACUGCCGGUGCAAACCGUGAGGAAGGUGGGGAUGACGUCAAAUCAUCACGGCCCUUACGUCCUGGGCCACACACGUGCUACAAUGGUAGGGACAGAGAGCAGCCACUUCGCGAGAAGGAGCGAAU
rnacentral:rRNA from 1 species